GAAACCCGGUGAUCUAGCCAUGGGCAGGUUGAAGGUUGGGUAACACUAACUGGAGGACCGAACCGACUAAUGUUGAAAAAUUAGCGGAUGACUUGUGGCUGGGGGUGAAAGGCCAAUCAAACCGGGAGAUAGCUGGUUCUCCCCGAAAGCUAUUUAGGUAGCGCCUCGUGAAUUCAUCUCCGGGGGUAGAGCACUGUUUCGGCAAGGGGGUCAUCCCGACUUACCAACCCGAUGCAAACUGCGAAUACCGGAGAAUGUUAUCACGGGAGACACACGGCGGGUGCUAACGUCCGUCGUGAAGAGGGAAACAACCCAGACCGCCAGCUAAGGUCCCAAAGUCAUGGUUAAGUGGGAAACGAUGUGGGAAGGCCCAGACAGCCAGGAUGUUGGCUUAGAAGCAGCCAUCAUUUAAAGAAAGCGUAAUAGCUCACUGGUCGAGUCGGCCUGCGCGGAAGAUGUAACGGGGCUAAACCAUGCACCGAAGCUGCGGCAGCGACACUAUGUGUUGUUGGGUAGGGGAGCG
rnacentral:rRNA from 1 species